GGGUCGAUGGCGUAGUUGGUUAUCGCAUCUGUCUAACAUAUUCCAAUGUGCACAGAAGGUCCUCAGUUCGAACCUGGGUCGACUCA